UGUUAGACACUAAGCAUACGUGAAUUUAUAAACUAAGCUCACGUGCCUUUUUUGCCCUCGUUCAUGUUGUUGAUCGGAGUUUUGAAAAUUCGUGGAAGUAUUUAAAAAGCGCCCUGUACAGAUUAUAUGUCAAAUCAUGCCAUGGCUUCUCCACCUGUUUCCAUGUUGUCUGCUGUUGGAAGAACAUCUAUGAGGGACUGUGAAUAGAAUCUUUAUCUUCUGCUUAUAUACAACACUUACUUUGAUAAGUUGAUGACAAUGAAACUAAUGACCAUGUUAACAUCAGAGGAAAAGCAAACUGGGAGAAGAAAGGACAACAUUGUUUUCGAUCUUGAAGGCCUGCGUAGACAUAGGACCAGGAAGGGGAGCUAGGAGUGGGAGAAGUGCCUGUGACUGAUAUAUGCACUAUCAGAUAGAAAUCCAGUUCAAAAGGAAAUCUGAAAUAGUGAAAUAGCAGAAAUCAUGACUUACAUACUGUGUAAUCUGCUCUAAAACACAAACAUUUGAAUUUAAAAUGUGUUAAAUGCAAAACAGUUCUACUUACAAAAUGAAUCUUUCAGUAAAUUCUAAAUGCAGCUGAAAAGUGAUAUACAUGAAAUGUGUGAAAACAGUGCAAGUUAAGUUUGAUUUUUUGUUGUAUACAAAACUGAAGAACUUGUAUCCAAUUCAUUUUCUGGAUGCACAGUGUUAUUGGAAUUUUUUUCAGAUAAUUUAAAAUUCUACAAGGUGAAGAUAUUUCAAAUAGUAUCUCGAGAAAAAUAGUUUGCACAAUGAAUUGUUUUUCAAAAAUU
rnacentral:lncRNA from 1 species